GACGAACGCUGGCGGCGUGCUUAACACAUGCAAGUCGAACGGAAAGGCCUGCUUUCCCUUGUGGAUUGCGGGUACUCGAGUGGCGAACGGGUGAGUAACACGUGAGUGAUCUGCCCCCAACUUGGGUAUAAGCCUGGGAAACUGGGUCUAAUUCCCGAUAGGACUGCAGGGUGGUGCCUGUGGUGGAAAACGAUUUUCUAGUGGUUGGGGAUGAGCUCGCGGCCUACCAGCUUGUUGGUGGGGUAAUGGCCUACCAAGGCGGCGACGGGUAGCCGGCCUGAGAGGGUGGACGGCCACAUUGGGACUGAGAUACGGCCCAGACUCCUACGGGAGGCAGCAGUGGGGAAUAUUGCACAAUGGGCGGAAGCCUGAUGCAGCGACGCCGCGUGGGGGAUGACGGCCUUCGGGUUGUAAACUCCUUUCGACCGCGAGGAAGCCACCAGGUUGGAAGGGUGGUGACGGUAGUGGUAGAAGAAGCACCGGCUAACUACGUG
rnacentral:rRNA from 1 species